UACGGGGGGUGCGAGCGUUGUCCGGAAUCACUGGGCGUAAAGGGCGCGUAGGUGGUUUGAUAAGGGUGUGGGUGAAAGUCCGGGGCUCAACCCCGGAUCUGCCGUGCCGACUGUCAAACUCGAGGACUGUAGAGGCAGACGGAAUUCGGGUGUACGCGGUGAAAUGCGCAGAUAUCAGGAGGAACACCCAAUUGCGAAGG
rnacentral:rRNA from 1 species